ACCACCUGGGGACCUUGUGAAAAGGCAGAUUCUGGUUCAGGAGGUCUGGGACGGGGCCUGCGAGUCUGCAUUUCUCACAAGUUCCCAGGUGACACGAA
rnacentral:pre_miRNA from 1 species